CCUACGGGGGGCAGCAGUGAGGAAUAUUGGUCAAUGGACGAGAGUCUGAACCAGCCAAGUAGCGUGAAGGAUGACUGCCCUAUGGGUUGUAAACUUCUUUUAUAUGGGAAUAAAAUGUUCCACGUGUGGGAUUUUGUAUGUACCAUAUGAAUAAGGAUCGGCUAACUCCGUGCCAGCAGCCGCGGUAAUACGGAGGAUCCGAGCGUUAUCCGGAUUUAUUGGGUUUAAAGGGAGCGUAGGUGGAUUGUUAAGUCAGUUGUGAAAGUUUGCGGCUCAACCGUAAAAUUGCAGUUGAAACUGGCAGUCUUGAGUACAGUAGAGGUGGGCGGAAUUCGUGGUGUAUCGGUGAAAUGCUUAGAUAUCACGAAGAACUCCGAUUGCGAAGGCAGUUCACUGGACUGCAACUGACACUGAGGCUCGAAAGUGUGGGUAUCAAACAGGAUUAGAUACCCUUGUAGUC
rnacentral:rRNA from 1 species